UUUCCAUUGUAACAAGCUUCUCAAUUGUUUGAGUUUUUGUAAAAGCUUGAAGAUCCAAACCAUCAGCAUUUGUAAAAGAUUGGCUCAAGUCAAUACGUAACUAUUGAUUGAGUGACACCUUAUAAAGUCUGGAGGACUUAGGUAGAUCAAGCGAGUGAAGCUUGGAAGAUUAUGAUCUUGGACUAGAUCAAGGAAGAAGUGUAAUUUGAGAUCGGUAGUAUCUCAUAGUGGAUAAUCUCACAAGAGCGUGAGGACUAGAGUAGCCCAUACUAUUAGGGGGUGAACCAGGAUAAUUGUUUGUGUGUUGUUUCUCUUCCUUAUUCUCUUUUAUUUACUGUAAACACACAUCACACAAAGCACUUCAUU
rnacentral:lncRNA from 1 species